UACAGAGGUGGCAAGCGUUGUUCGGAAUUACUGGGCGUAAAGCGCGCGUAGGCGGCUUUUCAAGUCAGACGUGAAAUCCUUAGGCUUAACCUGAGAACUGCGUUUGAUACUGUUGGGCUAGAGUGUGGAAGGGGCUACUAGAAUUCCGUGUGUAGCGGUGAAAUGCGUAGAUAUACGGAGGAACACCAGCGGCGAAGGCGGCUCGCUGGGCCGUUCCUGACGCUGAGACGCGAAAGCUAGGGGAGCGAACAGG
rnacentral:rRNA from 1 species